rnacentral:rRNA from 1 species
GACGAACGCUGGCGGCGUGCCUAAUACAUGCAAGUCGAGCGGACAGAUGGGAACUUGCUCCCGGAAGUCAGCGGCGGACGGGUGAGUAACACGUGGGCAACCUGCCUGUAAGACUGGGAUAACCUCGGGAAACCGGAGCUAAUACCGGAUACGUUCUUUUCUCGCAUGAGAGAAGAUGGAAAGAUGGUUUCGGCUAUCACUUACAGAUGGGCCCGCGGCGCAUUAGCUAGUUGGUGAGGUAAUGGCGCACCAAGGCGACGAUGCGUAGCCGACCUGAGAGGGGGAUCGGCCACACUGGGACUGAGACACGGCCCAGACUCCUACGGGAGGCAGCAGUAGGGAAUCUUCCGCAAUGGACGAAAGUCUGACGGAGCAACGCCGCGUGAACGAUGAAGGCCUUCGGGUCGUAAAGUUCUGUUGUUAGGGAAGAACAAGUACCAGAGUAACUGCUGGUACCUUGACGGUACCUAACCAAAAAGCCACGGCUAACUACGUGCCAGCCGCCGCCGUAA